AUGGCCCUAUUCUACCGGAGCCGGGGCAUGCAGCGGACUUAUCGUUCUCCGCUGGACCCUCCUAGUCGCAGCCGUAUAAAUACGAGUACCAGCCGCCGCGAGAAACCGGGCGAGAUCCGAUUCCGUCGCCCUCCCGUCCACCCUCCCUCGCGGCUAUAAUGGUGGGCAUCAUCGGUCCCUUCCUGGAAUCACCAGUAGUGUCCCUACCGCCGAAGACCUGGUGACGCACCAUCACAGGUCUCGCCAGUUCAUGAGGAGAGUGCAUACACGUCGGAAAUCGAGGGGAGAGGAUUAGGAGCAGAAAAUGCCCGCCAGCACCGACCUCAUUCCCAACCGGCGUCCUGGAGUCCACUGUGGGUUUAGGAGAUUCUUUGUGUUUCUUGGGAGGUGCUCGUGGCCGGGGAAGGAAGGAUUGACCACCGUUGAAGCCGAAAUUCUUCACCAAAUACCGACCACCUCUGUGCUCGGCGGGUACGGGCAACGUCGUGUUAAUCGAG
rnacentral:lncRNA from 7 species